UACGUAGGGUGCAAGCGUUGUCCGGAAUUAUUGGGCGUAAAGAGCUCGUAGGCGGUCUGUCGCGUCUGCUGUGAAAACUCGGGGCUUAACCCCGGGCCUGCAGUGGGUACGGGCAGACUAGAGUGCGGUAGGGGAGACUGGAAUUCCUGGUGUAGCGGUGAAAUGCGCAGAUAUCAGGAGGAACACCGGUGGCGAAGGCGGGUCUCUGGGCCAUUACUGACACUGAGAAGCGAAAGCAUGGGGAGCGAACAGG
rnacentral:rRNA from 1 species